rnacentral:tRNA from 1 species
UCCCUGGAGGUCCAGUGGUUAGGACUCUGCAUUUCCACUGAAGGGGCACUGGUUCGAUCCCUGGUCAGGGAA